GGCCUAACACAUGCGAGUCGAGCGGUAACAGGGGUAGCUUGCUACCCGCUGACGAGCGGCGGACGGGUGAGUAAUGCAUAGGAAUCUGCCCGGUAGUGGGGGAUAACCUGGGGAAACCCAGGCUAAUACCGCAUACGUCCUACGGGAGAAAGGGGGCUCCGGCUCCCGCUAUUGGAUGAGCCUAUGUCGGAUUAGCUAGUUGGUGAGGUAAUGGCUCACCAAGGCGACGAUCCGUAGCUGGUCUGAGAGGAUGAUCAGCCACAUCGGGACUGAGACACGGCCCGAACUCCUACGGGAGGCAGCAGUGGGGAAUAUUGGACAAUGGGCGAAAGCCUGAUCCAGCCAUGCCGCGUGUGUGAAGAAGGCCCUCGGGUUGUAAAGCACUUUCAGCGAGGAAGAACGCCUAGUGGUUAAUACCCACUAGGAAAGACAUCACUCGCAGAAGAAGCACCGGCUAACUCCGUGCCAGCAGCCGCGGUAAUACGGAGGGUGCAAGCGUUAAUCGGAAUUACUGGGCGUAAAGCGCGCGUAGGUGGCUUGAUAAGCCGGUUGUGAAAGCCCCGGGCUCAACCUGGGAACGGCAUCCGGAACUGUCAAGCUAGAGUGCAGGAGAGGAAGGUAGAAUUCCCGGUGUAGCGGUGAAAUGCGUAGAGAUCGGGAGGAAUACCAGUGGCGAAGGCGGCCUUCUGGACUGACACUGACACUGAGGUGCGAAAGCGUGGGUAGCAAACAGGAUUAGAUACCCUGGUAGUCCACGCCGUAAACGAUGUCGACCAGCCGUUGGGUGCCUAGCGCACUUUGUGGCGAAGUUAACGCGAUAAGUCGACCGCCUGGGGAGUACGGCCGCAAGGUUAAA
rnacentral:rRNA from 1 species